rnacentral:rRNA from 1 species
CCUACGGGAGGCAGCAGUGAGGAAUAUUGGUCAAUGGACGAGAGUCUGAACCAGCCAAGUAGCGUGAAGGAUGACUGCCCUAUGGGUUGUAAACUUCUUUUAUAUGGGAAUAAAAUGUUCCACGUGUGGGAUUUUGUAUGUACCAUAUGAAUAAGGAUCGGCUAACUCCGUGCCAGCAGCCGCGGUAAUACGGAGGAUCCGAGCGUUAUCCGGAUUUAUUGGGUUUAAAGGGAGCGUAGGUGGAUUGUUAAGUCAGUUGUGAAAGUUUGCGGCUCAACCGUAAAAUUGCAGUUGAAACUGGCAGUCUAGAGUACAGUAGAGGUGGGCGGAAUUCGUGGUGUAGCGGUGAAAUGCUUAGAUAGCACGAAGAACUCCGAUUGCGAAGGCAGCUCACUGGACUGCAACUGACACUGAGGCUCGAAAGUGUGGGUAUCAAACAGGAUUAGAUACCCCGGUAGUC